rnacentral:lncRNA from 1 species
AAUGUUCAAAAACAACCCAAACCACCUCAUCCUGGGUUAAAGAUGAGCUGCAGCACCUGGGGCUGGAUGGGAGGUCAAAGGAGGAACACUGGGGGACAUCAGUAGAUGCUGAGGUUGUGCUGGAGCUACGAGAUGGACCUGUUGUGUCAAAGAGGGAGCCCAGGAGAAAGACAAAGUGCUGGAGUGAAAGUGGUACAGAGGUCACUGCAGGCACCUGCUGUUUCUGGAAGUUUCUGUUUUGAGGUUCAGUGCCUUCUGCAGCUUUUGCAGAGUGCCAGGUCCACAAUCUGGUUUAGCAAAGGCCACUAGUCCACAUCCCUCUCCUAUGGGGCCCACAUGAAAAUCAGGAGUUUGAGAAGCAGAGUCAAGGCUUGGAACCAUCAAAUCCUAGAAGGGUUUGGGUUGGAAGUGACCUUAAAGAUUAUCUAAUUUCACCCCUGCCUCGGGCAGGGACAUUUUCCACUGUCCCAGGCUGCUCCAAGCCCUGUCCAACCUGGCCUUGGACAUUUCCAGGGAUCCAGGGGCAGCCACAGCUUCUCUGGGCACCCUGUGCCCAGGCCUCCCUACCCUCAGAAGGAAGAAUUUCCUCCUAAUGUCCCAUCUAACCCUGCUCUCCAUCAGUGAUGUAUUUUUCCUUCACGACAUCAGUGUACUAAGU